UCAGGGGAUGCCGAAAACCUUAAAAAGAGUAGGUG
rfam:Sphingobacterium sp. 21, complete genome.